rnacentral:rRNA from 1 species
AACGAACGCUGGCGGCAGGCUUAACACAUGCAAGUCGAGCGCCCCGCAAGGGGAGCGGCAGACGGGUGAGUAACGCGUGGGAAUCUACCCAUCUCUACGGAAUAACGCAUGGAAACGUGUGCUAAUACCGUAUACGUCCUCCGGGAGAAAGAUUUAUCGGAGAUGGAUGAGCCUGCGUUGGAUUAGCUAGUUGGUGGGGUAAAGGCCUACCAAGGCGACGAUCCAUAGCUGGUCUGAGAGGAUGAUCAGCCACACUGGGACUGAGACACGGCCCAGACUCCUACGGGAGGCAGCAGUGGGGAAUAUCGGACAAUGGGCGCAAGCCUGAUCCAGCCAUGCCGCGUGAGUGAUGAAGGCCCUAGGGUUGUAAAGCUCUUUCACCGGUGAAGAUAAUGACGGUAACCGGAGAAGAAGCCCCGGCUAACUUCGUGCCAGCAGCCGCGGUAAAAC